UACAGAGGUCCCAAGCGUUGUUCGGAUUCACUGGGCGUAAAGGGUGCGUAGGCGGUCGGGUAAGUCUGACGUGAAAUCUCCAAGCUCAACUUGGAAAUGGCGUCGGAUACUAUUCGGCUCGAGGAAUGGAGGGGAGACUGGAAUUCUCGGUGUAGCAGUGAAAUGCGUAGAUAUCGAGAGGAACACCAGUGGCGAAGGCGAGUCUCUGGACAGUUCCUGACGCUGAGGCACGAAGGCCAGGGGAGCAAACGGG
rnacentral:rRNA from 1 species